CAGACGAUGCGUCAUGCAUAUCAAUAAGCGGAGGAAAAGAAACUAACAAGGAUUCCCUUAGUAACGGCGAGUGAAGCGGGAAGAGCUCAAAUUUGAAAUCUUCAAGGUUUUACCUUGACGAAUUGUAGUUUAAAGAAGUGUUUUCUGUUGAAGUUUUGGUAAAAGUUCUUUGGAAUAGGACAUCAUAGAGGGUGAGAAUCCCGUAUUUGACCAUUAUUUUCAGCUGUGUGAUACACUUUCAAAGAGUCGGAUUGUUUGGGAAUGCAGUCCAAAAUGGGUGGUAAAUUUCAUCUAAAGCUAAAUAUUGGCGAGAGACCGAUAGCGAACAAGUACCGUGAGGGAAAGAUGAAAAGAACUUUGAAAAGAGAGUUAAACAGUACGUGAAAUUGUCAAAAGGGAAGCGUUUGACACCAGUGUUGUUUUCUCGAAAAUCAAUUAAAAAGAGUUAGAUUUUGUUGUGUAUUGACCUUAACAGCUUGCAUUUCAAUUUUCUUGCUUUUUUUAAUGCACUUUUCGUUUAACAAGUCAACAUCAGUUUCUUUUGUUGUAAAAGGGUCAUUGGAAGGUGGCUUUCUUUUCGGAGAAAGUGUUUAUAGCCUUUGACUCCUGCAAUCGGAGAGACUGAGGUCUGCAGCGUAGAUCCUUCGGGGUUAGAUACAUUUGUGCUAAGUUAUAGCUUUUUAUAGACAACUUGUUGACUAUGAUUAGUCUUGUAGCUUACUCGCUUAUGCUAUUUUACCUACGCUUAGGAUGUUGAGUCGUAGAGCACGCAG
rnacentral:rRNA from 1 species